GCCUGAGAAAGCUCGGUUGGUAGAGCAUGAGACUUUUAAUUUCAGGGUUGUGGAUUCGAACCCCACAUCAGGCA